CUGGCGGCGCACAUAAGACAUGCAAGUCGAACGAACUUAACCAAUGUUUACUUUGGAGCGGUUAGUGGCGGACUGGUGAGUAACACGUAAGCAACCUGCCUAUCAGAGGGGAACAACAGUUAGAAAUGACUGCUAAUACCGCAUAUGCCAUGAGUAUCGCAUGAUACAAAUGGGAAAGGAGCAAUCCGCUGAUAGAUGGGCUUGCGUCUGAUUAGAUAGUUGGUGGGGUAACGGCCUACCAAGUCAACGAUCAGUAGCCGGACUGAGAGGUUGAACGGCCACAUUGGGACUGAGAUACGGCCCAGACUCCUACGGGAGGCAGCAGUCGGGAAUAUUGCGCAAUGGAGGAAACUCUGACGCAGUGACGCCGCGUGCAGGAAGAAGGUUUUCGGAUUGUAAACUGCUUUAGACAGGGAAGAAAAAGGACAGUACCUGUAGAAUAAGCUCCGGCUAACUACGUGCCAGCCGCCGC
rnacentral:rRNA from 1 species